rnacentral:lncRNA from 1 species
GAUCCGUGGUGGAUGGCCUAUUGGCCUGGGUGGUGCAACUGGUUUGCAAAUGGCACGCCUAGGAGGGCUGUAUAAGGAUUUGGGGCCGGUUUGCAAAUGGGAUGCCACGAUGCCCAGCACGUCGAUUUAAUUUGACUACUGAUGAUGAAUACUGUAUUUUUAUUUAUUUAUUUAUUUAUUUUGCCUCUCGGUAUCUGUUUACAACCAGAUGAUGUGUUUACUUGCAUGGGCUUACUUACAUAUGCAUGAAUUUCCCAAAAGAUAUUCAACCAAGUGUCUUUUGUAAAAACGCAUGAAUUUCAAAAAAAAAUUGAUGUGAUUGUCGAACACCACUUGGUACACGGGGUACCUCAACCAUGAUGUUUAUAGAACAUAAAAGUAGGUGUGUAUGCCAGUCUUAUGGCGAAGGUCGUCGUACACCUGCGCAUUGUCGACACAACAAUGGUUUUAGAAGGUUCGGUCUACCUAAAGGGACGUGACCUAGUCCUACGUUAUG